rnacentral:rRNA from 1 species
GAUGAACGCUAGCGGCAGGCUUAAUACAUGCAAGUCGAGGGGCAUCAAGGUACACGAAAGUGUAUUGUUGGCGACCGGCGGACGGGUGAGUAAUAGGUAGGUAACCUACCUCAUACUGAGGCAUAGCUGGGAGAAAUUCCAGGUAAUUCCUCAUGAGGUUAUAUGACACAUGUGAUAUAAUCAAAGGUAUCGCAAGGUACUGGUAUGAGAUGGGCUUACUGACCAUUAGCUAGUUGGUGAGAUAAGAGCUCACCAAGGCGAAGAUGGUUAGGGGUUUUGAGAGAGAGAUCCCCCACAUUGGAACUGAGAUACGGUCCAGACUCCUACGGGAGGCAGCAGUAGGGAAUAUUGGGCAAUGGGCGGAAGCCUGACCCAGCCAUGCCGCGUGAAGGAAGACGGCCUUAGGGUUGUAAACUUCUUUACUAUGCGACUAACUAGAUUUACGAGAUAAUUCUAUAGAAUGUAGCAUAGCAAAAGCACCGG